rnacentral:lncRNA from 1 species
UGUAGGCCUUUUGGUCAAACUUGGUUACAAGUUUAUAAUAAAGGAUAAUUUUUGUGAUAUCAUUAUGAAUGAUACUACAAUUAUGCAUGGACAAUUAAAAUAUGGCAUAUACAUAAUAUCACGGUCUGUUAGUGUAAUGUACACACCUAGUAAAUGCUCCAAAAUAGAUAAUGUCAACAAAUCCUACCUUUGAUAUUGUAGGCUUGGUCAUGUAAAU